rnacentral:rRNA from 1 species
UACGGAGGGUGCAAGCGUUAUCCGGAUUCACUGGGUUUAAAGGGUGCGUAGGCGGGCAUGUAAGUCAGUGGUGAAAUCUCAAAGCUUAACUUUGAAACUGCCAUUGAUACUAUGUGUCUUGAAUUUUCUGGAGGUUAGCGGAAUAUGUCAUGUAGCGGUGAAAUGCUUAGAUAUGACAUAGAACACCGAUUGCGAAGGCAGCUGACUACGGAUGAAUUGACGCUGAUGCACGAAAGCGUGGGGAUCAAACAGG